AUCAUCUCCAGCCUCCUCUGAAGCUUGCUUGACAACCACACUGGUGAGGUCAGGACGGCGUGGCAGAUGCGUCGUGGUUCUGCUUGUCUGCGUCUCUGUCGUUUCAGGUGUCUCAAAUCUGAAGCUUCUCAGCAGAGGGAAGUCCACCUGGAGCUGACCGGUAUCUCGGUCCCAGUUACAAAAAGUAGUUUGCAUAAAUUCUUCUUCCUCUUCUUCUUCUUCAUUUCCCUCCUGUGCUUGUUCUGUCUUUUCAGUCUGUGCCAUGUAUGACGUGACCACCUGGGGGUUAUUCGGGCAGCGGGUGAGCUGGUUCCUAUCUUCCUGGUGUACCAAGCAGUAAUCCUCUUUCAGAGAGUUGCGACAGCUUUGUGAACCCGAUUCUGCUUCUGCUUCUGAGGUCUGCGGGAUGUUCUGCACUGCAUAAGCUCCUCUUAUUGUUUCGCUCACCUCAGGAAGUUGCAAGGGCUUGGGAAUGUCGACACCACCAUGAAAUGACCCGAGGAAACCGCACUUUGAUUCCCCCAUGCUCAGCAUACUGUACCACUCGACUAGCCAGUUAAGGAGCGCCUGAAUUCCAGAUCGAGGGCUGAAAUGAAACUAUGCAGGAGAGCGACAUUUCAGAAAUCAAGACACGCCCGAUCACAUUUCAGCUCGUCAUUAGCAAACCUCUCGGAGAAGGCUGACUCAACAGAGACACACCGGUUAGAAAGAAAGCAGAGACGUCACACAGACUCCGGUACGAUCACACGUGUCUCGACUGCUGUGUUCUCAGACACACUGCGUUCUCAGAACUCAAACCUUCGCCACAAUGAUCACUGCCAGGUUUACUAGUGUCCUGAUGCUCAGCUGAACCAUAUCAUGUCUGGUUUGUUUUUAGUGAAGUGUGUCAGUGUUUCUGGUACGCUGCUUUACAUGCAGUAUCUUGGUUAAAUACGGUACGCUAGACGUACAGUCAGGAGUAUUUCUGAUAUGACCCAUGUGUAAAUACUAGGACAACAGUGUAAUAACUAAUACUUCUGAGAUUUACAAAAGAGUAAAUUAGUAUUUCUGAGUAUUUAGAGACCACAGAGUACUAAUAUUUUUGCGAUAUUACUUUGAUUACUUGGAGAUCAUUUGAGUAUUUUUGAUUUUUUUUUAAGUAUUUGUAAGUGCAGGUGAAGAAAAGGUGAAACUUGUUCUAAAAUCCCUGCUGCCCUCGUUAUUUAUUUAUUUAUUUAUUUAUUUAUUUAUUUAUUUAUUUAUUUAUUUAUCAUUUGUGAGUGAGUUAUGAUCCUUUCACUCGAAUCUAUUAUUAUUACUGAUACAUCCAGAAUACAUUUUUAUCCAUUUAA